CUACCUGCAGCAACCUGCCCAAGGUGUCACCACGGAGAGGCAUUCUUCAGGCAAAUGCAGAUUCGUUCAGCUGACGAACCCAUGACAACAUUCUACCGAUGCUGCAACGAGAGAUGCAAUUACGAAUGGCGAGACGACUGAUCUCAUAUCUGAUGCGCAUGGGAGUGGAACUGUUUUCGCUUUCUCAAUCAAGCAUCGGCGUACUCUUGUCCUAUUUCUAUUGCUUUCUGCAUGCAGACCGGAAAGGAGAGCGAAGAUUUAAGUGCGAAGUUUUCUAUGCACACAACACGUUGCUGCUCGUUAUGUCAAGAUUGCAGCAGCAGACAGUCGAUGAGAAGGAGAAAACAACAUAUGAAGAGGAGGGAGGACGGCAAGUCCGACAAGUUCACGUGUCCAUCCGGAGCAAUUGUGCGUUAGAAUUAAAGCAUGAAGAGGAAGGAGGACAGGAGUCCUCCACACGAGUACGUCCUUUUUUCCUAGAGAGUAAUGAAGUGAUUGAUGCAGCUGCAAUCUAAAGUGAUCCAGCAGCUCUAAACUACCCCCAUAUAUUACUGAUAAUCUAAUUAAUAACUCCCUUUCCCUUGGAUGAGGAAUCUA